GGGAAAUUAGCUCAUCUGGUAGAGCACUCGUUUCGCAUGCGAGAGGUACCGAGAUCGAGAUUCGGAUUCUCCA
rnacentral:tRNA from 1 species